rnacentral:rRNA from 1 species
UUCGCCCUUAGAGUUUGAUCCUGGCUCAGGACGAACGCUGGCGGCGCGCUUAACACAUGCAAGUCGAGCGAUGAAAUCUUGACAGAACCCUUCGGGGGGGAAGAUAAGAUGGAUUAGCGGCGGACGGGUGAGUAACACGUGAGUAACCUGCCUUAGACAUUGGGAUAGCCUCGGGAAACCGGGAUUAAUACCAAAUGAAAUCACAUAUGCACAUGCAUAAAUGAUCAAAGCUCCGGCGGUCUAAGAUGGACUCGCGUCCCAUUAGCUAGUUGGUGAGGUAACGGCCCACCAAGGCGACGAUGGGUAGCCGGCCUGAGAGGGUGAACGGCCACAUUGGAACUGAGAAACGGUCCAAACUCCUACGGGAGGCAGCAGUGGGGAAUAUUGCACAAUGGAGGGAACUCUGAUGCAGCGACGCCGCGUGAACGAAGAAGGCUUUCGAGUCGUAAAGUUCUUUUAUAUGGGAAGAUAAUGACGGUACCAUAAGAAAAAGCCCCGGCUAACUACGUGCCAGCAGCCGCGGUAAUACGUAGGGGGCUAGCGUUGUCCGGAAUCACUGGGCGUAAAGGGUUCGCAGGCGGAAAUGCAAGUCAGGUGUAAAAGGCAGUAGCUUAACUACUGUAAGCAUUUGAAACUGCAUAUCUUGAGAAGAGUAGAGGUAAGUGGAAUUUUUAGUGUAGCGGUGAAAUGCGUAGAUAUUAAAAAGAAUACCGGUGGCGAAGGCGACUUACUGGGCUCAUUCUGACGCUGAGGAACGAAAGCGUGGGUAGCAAACAGGAUUAGAUACCCUGGUAGUCCACGCUGUAA